UUGGGACACCUCCCAUCCGUGUCUAUUAUACCCUGUUGCUUCGGCGGGCCCGCCGCUUGUCGGCCGCCGGGGGGGCGCCUUUGCCCCCCGGGCCCGUGCCCGCCGGAGACCCCAACACGAACACUGUCUGAAAGCGUGCAGUCUGAGUUGAUUGAAUGCAAUCAGUUAAAACUUUCAACAAUGGAUCUCUUGGUUCCGGCAUCGAUGAAGAACGCAGCGAAAUGCGAUAACUAAUGUGAAUUGCAGAAUUCAGUGAAUCAUCGAGUCUUUGAACGCACAUUGCGCCCCCUGGUAUUCCGGGGGGCAUGCCUGUCCGAGCGUCAUUGCUGCCCUCAAGCCCGGCUUGUGUGUUGGGUCGCCGUCCCCCUCUCCGGGGGGACGGGCCCGAAAGGCAGCGGCGGCACCGCGUCCGAUCCUCGAGCGUAUGGGGCUUUGUCACAUGCUCUGUAGGAUUGGCCGGCGCCUGCCGACGUUUUCCAACCAUUUUUUCCAGGUUGACCUCGGAUCAGGUAGGGAUACCCGCUGAACUUAAGCAUAUCAAUAAGCGGAGGGAAAAGAAA
rnacentral:rRNA from 1 species